AUUGAACGCUGGCGGCAUGCCUUACACAUGCAAGUCGAACGGCAGCACGGGAGCAAUCCUGGUGGCGAGUGGCGAACGGGUGAGUAAUAUAUCGGAACGUGCCCAGUCGUGGGGAUAACGUAGCGAAAGCUACGCUAAUACCGCAUACGAUCUAUGGAUGAAAGCGGGGGCUCGCAAGACCUCGCGCGAUUGGAGCGGCCGAUAUCAGAUUAGGUAGUUGGUGAGGUAAAGGCUCACCAAGCCGACGAUCUGUAGCUGGUCUGAGAGGACGACCAGCCACACUGGGACUGAGACACGGCCCAGACUCCUACGGGAGGCAGCAGUGGGGAAUUUUGGACAAUGGGCGCAAGCCUGAUCCAGCAAUGCCGCGUGCAGGAUGAAGGCCU
rnacentral:rRNA from 1 species